rnacentral:rRNA from 1 species
UACGGAGGGGGCUAGCGUUGUCCGGAGUUACUGGGCGUAAAGCGCGCGUAGGCGGGUUGGUAAGUCCGCUGUGAAAGCCCGGAGCUUAACUCCGGAGGGUCGGUGGAUACUGCCAGUCUUGAAGGUGCUAGGGGGAGAUGGAAUUACCGGUGUAGCGGUGAAAUGCGUAGAUAUCGGUAGGAACACCUGUGGCGAAAGCGGCUCACUGGACCACAACUGACGCUGAGGCGCGAAAGCUAGGGGAGCAAACAGG